AUACGGAGACGGCGAGCGUUGCUCGGAUUCAUUGGGCGUAAAGGGUCCGCAGGCGGCCGGUAAAGUCGGGUGUGAAAUCUCGCAGCCUAACUGCGAGCGGUCAUUCGAAACUAAUCGGCUAGAGGACUGGAGAGGAGACUGGAAUUGUCGGUGUAGCGGUGAAAUGCGUAGAUAUCGACAAGAACACCUGUGGCGAAGGCGGGUCUCUGGACAGUUCCUGACGCUCAGGGACGAAAGCUAGGGGAGCAAACGGGAUUAGAAACCCCGGUAGUCC
rnacentral:rRNA from 1 species